CAAAGAUCCUGUAUGAUCUUUGGUUUACAAGACCGAGAAGAUCCGCCGGAAGGAGGUUACUGGACACAAACUGGCUGAUGAAUUCCCUACAUUACAAUGGUGGCUCUGCUGCAAUAAUACUUUGUUGGCUGUAUUGUAAAACAUUUGGAGAUGAUCUGAAGUCAAGAACGGCGUCAUAGAAAGGCAAAUGUCAGAACCGAGCUUUGAACAAAGUUACAUUUCCCAGAGGUAUGAAGAACCUGUAGCACAUCCGACGAUCUGUUGAAGUGAGGUAUACGAGGCCUAAUGCAGAUCGGGUGGACAAUCAGCAAGAGUACAGCCUACCUCAUGGAAAUCAAGUCAAACAUAAGGAAACAUGGACAAAGAAGCGUAUUGAUUGAACCUGUCUAAAUAAUGCAACAGGUCAUUUAAUUUUUGUGAAUGCAAAUGUUCAAUGUGAAAAUGGCAUUUUUGAAAUCAUUUUCCAAUGUGAAUGUGAAUGAUUCCAAAAGGGGAACCAGGAUGUAUUAGUGAAGUAAUUUCAUUGUUGGUUAACUUGCCUGCUUUUGUUUUAUACACUUAACUGUUUUUGAAAUAUAUUAUUAGGCAUAUUUGAAAUGUGGCAGUUCAUUAAGAAUUAUUAAUGAA